rnacentral:rRNA from 1 species
ACCUACGGGAGCAGCAGUAGGGAAUUUUCGUCAAUGGGCGCAAGCCUGAACGAGCAAUGCCGCGUGAACGAGGAAGGUCUUCGGAUCGUAAAGUUCUGUUGAAGGGGAAAAAGAGCGGAGAGAGGAAAUGCUUUCUGAUUGAUAUUACCCUUCGAGGAAGUCACGGCUAACUACGUGCCAGCAGCCGCGGUAAUACGUAGGUGGCGAGCGUUAUCCGGAAUGAUUGGGCGUAAAGGGUGCGUAGGCGGCCUGCUAAGUCUGGAGUGAAAGGUACCGGCUCAACCGGUACAGGUUCUGGAAACUGG